UGCCCCAUGGCUGAGUUGGUUACAGCGUCCGACUGUUAUUUCAGCCAAUCGGAAGGUCGAGAGUUCGAGCCUCUCUGGGGCAG